rnacentral:lncRNA from 1 species
AUUUUCAGUGUGAUAUAGAAUGCUUGUUCAGGAGGUUUUACAAAUAUAAACGGGAGCAAGGUGCCUUUUUCACUCUGAUAACUAUAGCAGGCACAUGACUUUGAGAGAAAAGUGCUGGUCCUGUGGGUGGUUCCCGCCUCCCCCCCCCCUUUAUACAGUGAACUGGAAACUUCUUAUUAGCCAUGCUGACACUUUCAACUCUGCCAUUUUCCUUUGCAGAUAUCCUAACUCUUGGAUAUGUGGCAAAUACAGGCUCAGACUUCCUGACCUGUAAAAACUCAACUGAUUGUGAAUAUCCUGUCUUCUGCAAAUGUAAUUGCUGUCUGACAUUCUGUAAUGUGCACAAAGUUGGCGUUAUGGACUGCAUUAUGUGUCAUUACAAUGGCAUCCACUUAAACAAUUACUGUCAAACCAUGUAA